rnacentral:rRNA from 1 species
GACGAACGCUGGCGGCGUGCUUAACACAUGCAAGUCGAACGGAAAGGCCCUGCUUUUGUGGGGUGCUCGAGUGGCGAACGGGUGAGCAACACGUGAGUAACCUGCCCUUGACUUUGGGAUAACUUCAGGAAACUGGGGCUAAUACCGGAUAUGAGCUCCUGCUGCAUGGUGGGGGUUGGAAAGUUUCGGCGGUUGGGGAUGGACUCGCGGCUUAUCAGCUUGUUGGUGUGGUAGUGGCUUACCAAGGCUUUGACGGGUAGCCGGCCUGAGAGGGUGACCGGCCACAUGGGGACUGAGAGACGGCCCAGACUCCUACGGGAGGCAGCAGUGGGGAAUAUUGCACAAUGGGCGGAAGCCUGAUGCAGCAACGCCGCGUGCGGGAUGACGGCCUUCGGGUUGUAAACCGCUUUCGCCUGUGACGAAGCGUGAGUGACGGUAAUGGGUAAAGAAGCACCGGCUAACUACGUG